AAGAUGAUCACAUUUGCCGUCUCACUUUCAGAGUUCGAAUCUUGAGACCUGAAUGCCAGCUGAAGUCAGGCGGAGCAGCAAUUUAUAAAUUGGUGAUUCUGAUGUAUGGCGCUGUGGUCGAGCUUCAGCACGUGACUUAUAGGGAAGACCGGGAGUCUGCUGUUUCCUGAGCGUUAGAUGUGAUCGCUGGCGUCCACUUCGUCUGUUCUCGGGGAGUUUGUGUAUGGAUUCCCCUUUUGUUCUUGUAAGAAGUAACAAUGAUUUUUGUUUUGGAAUAGGUGUUGAUGUAACCUCUGUCCCAGUGUGGACUACAUUCCCUGCGGAUUGGUGUUUUGGGGCACCAAACCAUAGCAAGCGAAAUGUAUCUUUGGCUGACUUUAUAUAAGAUAGACCGAGUUUAUCAAUGGUUGUAGCUUCGUUAUAAAUUGAAUUUCGGGCACUGAAAAUAAAUUUACGUAGAAACAUUGUUAAUAUUAUCUUAUGAGAGCAUGGGUGGGGAGGGGAGAAAACAGACAUAGUUGACAAUAAUUGAGAAUCGUCUGUUGCUACUGUCGCGUGUUGCUUGCUGCGGGUGGUUAGUCGAGGUAUGGGGGCCCAGAGGGGGUCGCCCGAGGGGGAGGCGCGGUCGCCUUUCGCUCUGCUGGGUAAUGGAUCCGCAUCGGGAGACACCAUAAGUCAAGCGCUUACCUGAUGGGGUCUUUUGUUGCGGGUCCUGACGGGACAGGAGGGCGAACACCCUAUUAGCGAGGGGAGGAUGGAAGUUUUCCUCUCCCCAGAGCCGGGCCUGAGUUUUUGUGUCGAGAGCCUGGGUUCGGACCGGCAGUGUGAGAGAAGAGCGUCGGUGCGAGGAGACGUUGAUGUACCCAGGGCUUGCUGUGUGCUUCCCUGUGUUGGUGCGUCCUUCCCGCAUCUCGAGCCUUCUGUGUGGUGCUCAGGACUGGGCUGUGUGCCUUUUUUCUCCCCGGGGUGGGGACGUGUCCUGGAGCAGUUCCACCUUCUCCUGCGUUUUCUGCGUGCGGCAGAAUGAACGCGUCAUGAGCCGAGUGGGCUCAAACACCCGCUCACUAAACCUAGUGGGGUGAAGCAGCAAACAGACGGACGGAGGACUAACGGACUGCCGUCGGCCAGCCAACUACGCGUACCUGCGUGCGAACAGAGGAACCUGCGCCGAGGUAUCAGCGGACUGUUGGUGAAACCAAGAUAUUCAAGCCUCGAGGACUGUGCUUGACAAUAGACGACGACCUGUGGUAGUGAGGAGCAAUUGUGUCUCAGGCAGUGGCCGGGAGGUGGACUAGUGGGUGUGCUGUGGGGGAAGUCGGACCACGCGGACACCAUCAGUAGAGAGUGGCGUGGCUAAACGCUCAGUUGUGUGCGCUAGUGGUGGGACUCCCCACCGUGUGGCUUUAUUUUUCUUCUGUUUGUUUUUGUCUUAUAUAUAUUUUCUUCUCUUUCUUUCUUGGGUUGGUGGCUGCAUUCUGCGGCCGCCAAUAAACUUUAGUCUUGUAGUGUA